rnacentral:misc_RNA from 1 species
CUCGUCCUAUGUUGCCAGCGAGUUCGGGGACUCAUAGGAGACUGCCGGGGUCAACUCGGAGGAAGGUGGGGAUGACGUCAAGUCAUCAUGCCCCUUACGUCUUGGGCUGCACACAUGCUACAAUGGCCGGUACAAAGGGCUGCGAUACCGCGAGGUGGAGCGAAUCCCAAAAAGCCGGUCUCAGUUCGGAUCGGGGUCUGCAACUCGACCCCGUGAAGUCGGAGUCGCUAGUAAUCGCAGAUCAGCAUUGCUGCGGUGAAUACGUUCCCGGCCUUGUACACACCGCCCGUCACGUCACGAAAGUCGGUAACACCCGAAGCCGGUGGCCUAACCCUAGGAGCCGUCGAAGGUGGGACCGGCGAUUGGGACGAAGUCGUAACAAGGUAGCCGUACCGGAAGGUGCGGCUGGAUCACCUCCUUUCUAAGGAGCGUGUUUUCCUGGUGGGUCCAGGGCCAGGGCCGGGCGAGUGUCUCGGUCUGGUUGCUCGAGGGCGUGGACGCUGACGCUCGCCGGCUGGUGCCGGUCUCUAGUACGGGUGGGAACGGGUUCGGUGCUGGGGGUGUCGUGGGCACGUUGGGUCCUGAGGGAGCAAGCUUCUUCGGUGACUACGAGGGGGGCUGGAGGGCUUCGGUCGCGCGGGCCGCGGUACCGCGUCUGGUCGUGGUGGUGGGUGGCCGUCUGUACUUCGAGAACUGCACAGUGGACGCGAUCUUUGUGGCCAAGUUAUUAAGGGCG